rnacentral:lncRNA from 1 species
GGGAGGCAUAGGGACUGGAUCCUGCGAUGCUGAGAAGCUUAGAUGAUGAAACGCCUGCUCUGACAAUGGCUUGGCUGUUUUAAAAGAAACAGGUGGACCUAUCGUAAAAGAAUUGGAAGUUGAAUGAAUGCUGGAUUGUGAAGACCCAUUGAGGGACUGGUUUCAUUGGGGCAGCAGAAGUGAAAGAGUACUGGAAAAUUUAACAAGAUUAUUCAAACUCUUCAAAAUGGUCUCUUCCUUGAAGUCUUGAAUGGCUACCUUUGAAGCUAUCUGGAUGGCAUUAAGGGGGGCUGCCCCCAUGGCUGAGUUGUUAAGUUCUCGUGCUCUGCUGUUGCGGCCCAGUGUUUCAUCUGUUUGAAUCCUGGGUGCAGACAUGGCACUGCUCAUCAAACCACGCUGAGGCAGCAUCCCACAUGCCACAACUAGAAGGACCCACAACUAAGAGUAUACAACUAUGUACUGGGG